rnacentral:snRNA from 1 species
AUACUUACCUGGUGCCAGGGCCUCGUUCAUCACUGAGGAUGAGCCCCCGGGGCAAGGCGUGGGCAGUGCACUGCGCUUGCAUUGACCCCUGCCACUACCCCAAACUGGGGCAGAUGGGGCAUGCAGAUUGC